GCCGUUGUAGCUCAGUUGGUUAGAGCGCCGGAUUGUGGAUCCGGAGGUCCCUGGUUCGAGCCCAGGCAACGGUACCA
rnacentral:tRNA from 2 species